rnacentral:misc_RNA from 1 species
UGUCCGUAGGUGAACCUGCGGAAGGAUCAUUACAGAGUUCAUGCCCUCACGGGUAGAUCUCCCACCCUUGAAUAUUUAUACCUUAGUUGCUUUGGCAGGCCGUGGAAACACCAUGGGCUCCGGCUUAUGCGUGCCUGCCAGAGGAAACAAACUCUGUUUUUAGUGAUGUCUGAGUACUAUAUAAUAGUUAAAACUUUCAACAACGGAUCUCUUGGUUCUG